rnacentral:rRNA from 1 species
UACGUAGGGUGGCGCGUUGUCCGGAUUUACUGGGCGUAAAGGAUGCGUAGGCGGAUAUUUAAGUGAGAUGUGAAAUACCCGGGCUUAACUUGGGUGCUGCAUUUCAAACUGGAUAUCUAGAGUGCGGGAGAGGAGAGUGGAAUUCCUGGUGUAGCGGUGGAAUGCGCAGAUAUCAGGAAGAACACCCGUGGCGAAGGCGGCUCUCUGGAACGCAACUGACGCUGAGACGCGAAAGCGUGGGGAGCAAACAGG